rnacentral:rRNA from 1 species
GAUGAACGCUGGCGGCGUGCCUAAUACAUGCAAGUCGAGCGAACGGACGAGAAGCUUGCUUCUCUGAUGUUAGCGGCGGACGGGUGAGUAACACGUGGAUAACCUACCUAUAAGACUGGGAUAACUUCGGGAAACCGGAGCUAAUACCGGAUGAUAUUUUGAACCGCAUGGUUCAAAAGUGAAAGACGGUCUUGCUGUCACUUAUAGAUUGAUCCGCGCUGCAUUAGCUAGUUGGUAAGGUAACGGCUUACCAAGGCAACGAUGCAUAGCCGACCUGAGAGGGGGAUCGGCCACACUGGAACUGAGACACGGUCCAGACUCCUAAGGGAGGCAGCAGUAGGGAAUCUUCCGCAAUGGGCGAAAGCCUGACGGAGCAACGCCGCGUGAGUGAUGAAGGUCUUCGGAUCGUAAAACUCUGUUAUUAGGGAAGAACAUAUGUGUAAGUAACUGUGCACAUCUUGACGGUACCUAAUCAGAAAGCCACGGCUAACUACGUG